rfam:Musa acuminata subsp. malaccensis Doubled-haploid Pahang (DH-Pahang) genomic chromosome, chr6
GCCCAUCCGGCUCAGUCGGUAGAGUGCAAGGCUCUUAACCUUGUGACCAUGGGUUUGAGCCCCAUGGUGGGCG